UACAGAGGGGGCAAGCGUUGUUCGGAAUUACUGGGCGUAAAGGGCGCGUAGGCGGCCUUCUAAGUCGAACGUGAAAUCCCUGGGCUCAACCCAGGAACUGCGUCCGAUACUGGAAGGCUUGAAUCCGGGAGAGGAUAGUAGAAUUCCAGGUGUAGUGGUGAAAUACGUAGAUAUCUGGAGGAAUACCGGUGGCGAAGGCGGCUAUCUGGCCAAACAUUGACGCUGAGAGACGAAAGCGUGGGUAGCAAACAGG
rnacentral:rRNA from 1 species